ACUCCUUCGGGGUUCGGUCCCCCUCCCAUUAGUAUAGGGAGGGGUCCCUCACUCCUUCGGGGUCCGCCCCCGCGGGGCGGC
rnacentral:tRNA from 1 species